GGGGAUGACAGGCUUCGACGGGAGAGGCUGGUCCCGGACUGCGAGCCGAGAGGUACCGACCUCGUAAAAUCAGUACAAAAAAUCAAGUGCCAAUCGCACUCAGUAUGCUGCUCUCCCCCUCGCUGCAUAAGCGAAGGUGAUCAGCUAAUGACCUCCGCGUGAGGUCACGUCCGCCUGCUCCGCUGUCUGACCGGUAGUAGAUGCGGGCGCCACAAGGUCAGACUGCCGCCUCCCACGCCGCGGGGGUUGCGAAAGAGGGCUUUCGGGCCUGAGCGGAUAGCAGCUUUCCUGUUCUGCAGGUAAUCGGGCCAGUUGCGAGAUCAAAGACUUGCUACGCUCGUAGAUGUUCGCGGGUCUAUUCUUUCGGACGCGGGUUCGAUUCCCGCCAUCUCCACCU
rfam:Chloroflexi bacterium GWB2_54_36 gwb2_scaffold_862, whole genome shotgun sequence.